CCGUGGGGAAUUUUCCGCAAUGGGCGAAAGCCUGACGGAGCAAUGCCGCGUGGAGGUGGAAGGCCUACGGGUCGUCAACUUCUUUUCUCGGAGAAGAAACAAUGACGGUAUCUGAGGAAUAAGCAUCGGCUAACUCUGUGCCAG
rnacentral:rRNA from 1 species